UUUAAUUUGGGUUUUAACUGGGAGAUAGAGAGAAGAACAAUGUUCUUAGGGUUUCAAGCUUGACCCGCCAAAUCCUCUCAAAAAACCCCUCAUCUGCAUUUCCUCUGCAUGAAUCGGAUCUUCACAGGGACAUCCGUCCGGAAUUCCUGCGGUAUUCUGUUUCCUCUCCGACGACAAUGGCGUCGAAGGUAUCGCCAUCUGCCUCGGCGAAUAGAUCGGACCCAACCAAGGAAUCUUCCAUGACACAACAUCAAGAAAGAACUCCAACUAAUAAGGAGAUUUUGUUGGUCAUUGAUUCUCUAAAGAAGGAAGUUGGAGCGGAUCGUGGUGUUUAUAUAAAGAAAAGAAUGGAACAAACUGGAAAAUGCUGGUUGGCACCACCAACAUCUUUACG